rnacentral:lncRNA from 1 species
GGAGAUUGUGAAGCCACCCUGCAAGAUGAGCCCUGCCUGCCAUGCCUGCACUCAGCACUGAGUGCAACUUGAAACACCACCAAGAGCUGGGAAUGGAGAGACAAGAACAGGUGGCCAGAAAACGGAUUGCAGUGAACAUCUGCACAUCUCAGUCCCUGAAAAAAAAUUACAAACAUGCUCACUGUCUUGCUAAUGUUCUUCCUUUGAGCCAAGGAUAUUCUCAUGAAAUAGUGAUAUAUGUAUCAAAAUGGUAGCAAAAAGAACUCAGUUGAAUUAAGAACUGUACAAGAGCCUUGAGACUUUAAAGAAAACCCAACAACCAUUUCCUCAAGUAACAUAACUUUUAAUUAAUAUACUCUUAGAUACCCUUCACUUACUGCACAAUGACCUGCCACAGAUAUCACUACACAUAAUAAAAGAAAAAGUUAAACUGGUG